rnacentral:rRNA from 1 species
UACGAAGGGGGCUAGCGUUGUUCGGAAUUACUGGGCGUAAAGCGCGCGCAGGCGGUCUUCCAAGUCAGUGGUGAAAGCCCGGAGCUCAACUCCGGAACUGCCAUUGAAACUGUUGGACUUGAGUACGAGAGAGGUGAGUGGAAUUCCCAGUGUAGAGGUGAAAUUCGUAGAUAUUGGGGAAGAACACCGGUGGCGAAGGCGGCUCACUGGCUCGUAACUGACGCUCAGGCGCGACAGCGUGGGGGAUCAAACAGG